GGGGUGUGUGUGAGAAGGAGGGAGACGUGUGUACACUCCAGCCCUAACCAUGAUCACCCUCUGGCCACCAAGACUUGGAGCAGCAACUUCUGUCCCACUGGAAUGUUUUUUAAGCACAGGCCACUUUUUUACUAUAAACUAAACCGCAGUCUGUCCUUGGAACUGGCCAUCCCGCUGCCGCCAACGCAUCAGGGCCUGGCUGCGGCAUCAAGCCCGGUGCUUCCCCAGGCCGGCGGAUGGCUGAGGACGCGGCCGGGACAAGGCCCUUCCUGCCUCGUGGGAACACGCAUGUUCCCGGCGGCACACUCCUCCCCGCGCACCCGUGACACCCACAGCCAGGGGGACGGUGUCCGUGGACACACACGGGGGCAGUGGGAGGAGAGAGCCUAGCCCGACAGGUGACAGGCCACCUCAGCAGCUCUCACGGGCCAGAGAACAGUGUGGCAGCAUGGACAGCAGCGAGAAGACUCGCCGUCUGCCUGGUGUGGAAAGUGCGCCGCGCCCCUCCUCGGAGACAGCCUCUGCCUGUUUCUGUGCCGCCGUCAGGGAGCCAGCGCUGGGAAUAAUCGGCCUCACCUCCGUGGCCUCGGAGAUCGCUCUGGAGCUAAGCGCUGACGUCAGCAGCAGGGCUGAGCACAAACAACACAGCCAGGCGCCAAGAGAACCAGGCGAGGGGACCCGGGGACGGCGCCACUGCGUGGUGCCCUGAAAGGGGAGCAGGUACCACGGCACCGCCCCGAGACCGUGUGUGGGGGCCGUGGCUGGAAUGGGACCUGCACCCCACCUGCCUGAAGGGCUGUCAGUCAAGAAGGAAGAUGGGACCCAGCAAACAGAAGCCACGACCCCCAGGGCCCUGGACGGACGCUGCCAACGCACCAGCAGUAAACACAAGGGCCUGCAAGGCUCACCCCCGGGGCCACCCCCCCAGCAGGUGGUGACGGAUGCCCACAGCUGGGGACAGUGCGGCAGACCAGCUUAGGCCCGGCAGAUAGAAACGCUCUGAUGGCCAUGGACGCCGUGGUGGGCAGAGAAGAAAUCCAGGCAGCCCCUCCCCUCUACGCCUAACCCCAGCAUCCGUGGGAAUCACCCACGGUCUUCAACCUCAGAGAGGAAGCUCUGACACAAUCUGACUUGCAGAGGCUCCCCAGCAAAGCUCCCAGCACCGCGCGUGCGGCUGCCUGCACUUCCUCCGCGUACCCUGCACGCCAAGGGUGAGCCCACUAAUGCACAGAACUGGGACGAACUUGAGGGGCAGAUACCAGACGGCGGAGGCUGGGCUGGCACCGUGUCAGCUCCCCACUGGAAGUCUCCUGGUGCUCAGGCCUCUCCAGCAGGAGCCUCCCAACCCCCCAUUUGUGGCUCCUCCUCAUCCUGCUGAAGUAACCACAGAUCCCUCCCGAGGCACGCGCUGGCCCUUCUGCUGGGAGCCGUGCCAUGCAGUGGAACAGUCAGAAGCAGGCCAGGAUGAUGUGCCAGGAACCCGCCUCACCGCAGGCCUGUGACGGUGUCAGGCUGAGUCUGCACCAAGCCCAGCCCCACUACCUUCUCCAAAGCUGGUCUGUCUCUGAGAGUCAAGGACAAAGCCUCCCCCCACUUUUCACAAGCAGCACCCCUUGACAGAGGAAAGUUGGCCGGGUGUGGUGGCUCAUGCCUGGAACAGCCCUUUGGAGGCUGCAGGAGGAGGACUGCUUGAGGUCGGCAGUUCACGACCAGCCUGGGCAACAUGAUGGACAAGAGUGCUUCUGGCCACAACAACAAAGGUUAAUUCCAGCCCAGAGGGUUCCGAGCCGUAACCAACACAAGAAGAGACGUGCCCAGACCAAUGGCCCCAGGCAGAACGGCGCCUUCGGCCAUGGGCUCUGCGCGGUGCCCGAGAGCACCUGCCAGCCUGUUUGAUUCCUGACACCCACAGACGUGCACCAAACACAGGCCUGAGUGGCCAGGACCACACAGCACAAGUGGGCGCCCCUCGCAGCAGCGACCUCCGGCCGAGACUCACCUGCCUUCUGCUCCAAGGGCCCGGCACCCUGAGAUCCUGAUGCCAGGGUAAGACGGGGGGCUGCUCAUGGUCGAGGACACGGGUGGGUGCUCCUGAACAGCGAGUGGCCCCAGGGGUGGAUGCGUGGGGGCUCAGGCGCAGGCAGCCGUGGGGGGCAUCACCACCUCAGACCCACGGCAGUCCCCUAAGGCAGCUCAGGAGCUCCGGCCACCUGAACUGCCCGUCCAUGGGCAGGACUACUCCUAUGGGCAGCACAGUGGGUGCAGAGCCGGGGGCUGGGGGUGAGACCCUUGGCUGGUAGAAGCUGCCUGCCAAGUGUCAGCAGAGACUCAGCAGCUAGGAGGCCCUUGGAGCCCCUACCGUACUGAGGGCACAGCACGCACUGCCGUCCUCAGAGGCCAAGGCCACAGGCAUAAGAGGAUCACCCAGCUGGGGGCUUGUGUGUGCCUGAUAUUAAUAGCGCUGGCUUUGCCUGGUGUGGCCCUGACAAUCCUCGGGCCAGCCCUUGGUGUGAACUGCCCCCUCCUGUGUGUGCGCUGGCACAUUCGGCCAGCCUAGGGCCGCAGGCUUGCGGAGGACCACCCUGCCCCAUGUGCCUGCACCCCUCCUGGAUCCCCUGGAAAAAGCUACAGUCCCCUGGCCUGCCUGGGGCUACAGAGUGAACCCCCGACAGCAGGACAGGGAAAUCUGAGGCGCCUCUUGGCCAGAUGUCCCGAACAUCAGUGCUGAGCUGGGCACCCCAUCCCUAGCCCCAAAGUGCUUCCGACAGGCGUAAACAAAUCUGAAACUCCACCCCCUGGCACCAUCUGAAAAUAACUGCCCUGCCCUGCCCCCACUCACGGGGGAUCCUGCAGGGACCUGCAACCACCCAGGGCUCACCACCCAGGGCUCAGCAGAGCACAGCGGACACAGUCACCUCUCCGAGAGCCCACAGAAACGGGGGUUCCGCCCCACCCUCAGCAGUUUGUCAAGGAUGUGCACAGAGAGGUCCUGGCAGCCCUAAGCUCUCCCGGGGCGGACAGGUCACCAUGGGAGUCAGCCUCCUCCUACCAUGGGUUUCUCUUGGAGCUUCUAGUACUGAGGCAGGGGCUGCCAGGAGCUCAGGGAAAAGGGAAGACUCCACACGGAGGUCACACUCCUGGGAGCUGCCUCAGAGGCAGGACUGGCCCAUCUGUCUGUCCACAGGUGCUUCCUCUCCUCAUUCUGCUCCCCGGAGGCGGCUACACCCCUCAUCUGGGAAGUGGGCAGGAGACAGCCCAGGGUCGGGGGAGGCAGAGGCUGUCCUGAGCAGGGGCGCGGAGCCUGGGCUCCUGGGAGCCGUGUCACUGGCUGGGCUGUCUGAACAGCAGAGUGGACUCAGGUUGGUCUACCUGGCAUGGGCAUGCUCUGGUUGCCCCAGCUGGCCAAGAGACCCGUGGAAGCCAACACUAUGCUGGCCAGGCCAGGGACGCACGAGCCCAGGUAUGCAGCUGUGAAUGGAACCACCAGGCCCCACCCUGGAAUCACGCUGCCUCGCUGCAGACCACGUGGUCCCCAACAUGCCCCUCCAGGAGGCUGCUCUCGGCCACAGCAGCCCACGGCAGGAAGGGGCCGCUCCCAGCGGGGAGGGGUGGCCUGCCCUGGUCCCAUUCACUGGUGUUCCUCCCAGGUUCUGACUUGCUGAGCUGGGCGGGUCCGGAGAACUCCCAUUCCCACGCCACCCACAGGUGCUGACACCGCGUUGGGGUAAGCACUGCCCAGGGUACCUUCUGCCUAAGGUUUCCUCCUUGCAGGUGAGGCUGAGGCCAGUGGUGCUGGAGGCUGCCUUAGCCACUUCUGGGCACCUCUUGCCCCUCCCUCACCUUCAGCCAUCCUACUCUGGGCCACAGCACAGUCGAGUGUGGCUCAGACCCCUCCACGGAGCCAUGGCUUGCCUCAGUUUCCUCCCCAAGGACAACAGCAGGUGCAUUACAGGUGGGCCGGCUCACAAAGACCAAGGCAGACGCCUCAUCGGUGAUAAGGGCACCAUAAGUGUCGUCAUCGUAAAGAAACAAGCACAGGCGGCCGGGCGCAGGGCUCACGCCUGGAAUCCCAGCACCAGCUCACAAAGACCAAGGCAGACGCCUCAUCAGUGCAGGACCUGCUCUGCACAGGUCAUGGGCAGCCUCCCUCUGCUCCCCACUUCCACAGCUCCAGACUCCAUCUCAACCACAGCCAGGAGUCACUGCUAACACCACAAAGGACCUGUUCCUGCACCAGCAUGGGCCAGCUCUCGGGCAGGUGCCCGGGACAGAGUCACGAGUGACAAGCAGACAGUAAACAACGGGCGAGACGGACAGACUGACUGCUGGGAUGACACGGCAGGCGGAACUGGAAUGGUGCUGGAGGAGCCCCAGCCCUGGGGACAGACCUCCACCUGUGCACAGACCUCCAAGCUGGAGCCUGCUCUGGAACACCAAGGGCAGCACCAGAGGUUGAAGAGGGGCAGACGCAGGAAUGCUGGGGGACACACUCGGGGAACAGUGAGAAAAGCCCUAGGCUGGGGCAGAGGAAGUCCGCAAUGGUACAAGCAUCAAGACACAAAGUGCAAGAAAUUUGCCUAAGACAAGAGGCAGUUCCAGGGCAGACCGGGGCCCCUGGAGAAGGGUGCCGCAAUCUAUCCUCCUGUCCCUUGGUAACCACACCAAACAAAGAUAACAGCAGUCUCUGCCUCCUCAGACACCGCGAGGACCACUGUGCCCAGCCCACUGUCUGUGCACAGGGCAGGCCCAGAUGGCUGCUGCCACCAACCUGUGUUAUCUGGGAAUGCCUUUAUCAAGAGCCCUCAGUGCUUGUCUAGCAUUGGCCUGCCCCACCUUGGGUUAAAUCAAAGCCUCUUUGGUGGCUGGGCACGGUGGUUCAUGCCUGUAAUCCCACGGAGGCUGAGGCAGGCAGAUCACUUAAAGUCAGGAGUUCGAGACCAGCCUGGACAACAUGACAAAAUACCUGUCUAC